UCCGGGUGACGAGCGGCGGACGGGUGAGUAAUGUCUGGGAAACUGCCUGAUGGAGGGGGAUAACUACUGGAAACGGUAGCUAAUACCGCAUAACGUCGCAAGACCAAAGUGGGGGACCUUCGGGCCUCAUGCCAUCAGAUGUGCCCAGAUGGGAUUAGCUAGUAGGUGGGGUAAUGGCUCACCUAGGCGACGAUCCCUAGCUGGUCUGAGAGGAUGACCAGCCACACUGGAACUGAGACACGGUCCAGACUCCUACGGGAGGCAGCAGUGGGGAAUAUUGCACAAUGGGCGCAAGCCUGAUGCAGCCAUGCCGCGUGUAUGAAGAAGGCCUUCGGGUUGUAAAGUACUUUCAGCGAGGAGGAAGGCAUUAAGGUUAAUAACCUUAGUGAUUGACGUUACUCGCAGAAGAAGCACCGGCUAACUCCGUGCCAGCAGCCGCGGUAAUACGGAGGGUGCAAGCGUUAAUCGGAAUUACUGGGCGUAAAGCGCACGCAGGCGGUUUGUUAAGUCAGAUGUGAAAUCCCCGGGCUCAACCUGGGAACUGCAUUUGAAACUGGCAAGCUUGAGUCUUGUAGAGGGGGGGUAGAAUUCCAGGUGUACGCGGUGAAAUGCGUAGAGAUCUGGAGGAAUACCCGGUGGCGAAGGCGGCCCCC
rnacentral:rRNA from 1 species